AUGCUAGCUUUGGCAGCACAUAUACUAAAAAUGGAACGGUACAGAGAAGAUUAGCAUGGCCCCUGUACAAGAAAAAAGCAGGAAAAAAAAGAAAGAAUAAAGUACAGC